UACGUAGGGGGCAAGCGUUGUCCGGAAUCAUUGGGCGUAAAGAGCUCGUAGGCGGCUUGGCAAGUCGGGUGUGAAACCUCCAGGCUCAACCUGGAGACGCCACCCGAAACUGCCUUGCUAGAGUAUGGGAGAGGGAAGUGGAAUUUCCGGUGUAGCGGUGAAAUGCGUAGAUAUCGGAAGGAACAUCAGUGGCGAAGGCGACUUCCUGGACCAAUACUGACGCUCAGGUGCGAAAGCGUGGGGAGCAAACAGG
rnacentral:rRNA from 1 species